AGUGGCGAACGGGUGAGUAAUAUAUCGGAACGUGCCCAGUCGUGGGGGAUAACGUAGCGAAAGUUACGCUAAUACCGCAUACGAUCUAAGGAUGAAAGCGGGGGACCGUAAGGCCUCGCGCGAUUGGAGCGGCCGAUAUCAGAUUAGGUAGUUGGUGGGGUAAAGGCUCACCAAGCCAACGAUCUGUAGCUGGUCUGAGAGGACGACCAGCCACACUGGAACUGAGACACGGUCCAGACUCCUACGGGAGGCAGCAGUGGGGAAUUUUGGACAAUGGACGCAAGUCUGAUCCAGCCAUUCCGCGUGCAGGAUGAAGGCCCUCGGGUUGUAAACUGCUUUUGUACGGAACGAAGAGGUCUCUCUUAAUACGGGGGGCUCAUGACGGUACCGUAAGAAUAAGCACCGGCUAACUACGUGCCAGCAGCCGCGGUAAUACGUAGGGUGCAAGCGUUAAUCGGAAUUACUGGGCGUAAAGCGUGCGCAGGCGGUUAUGUAAGACAGAGGUGAAAUCCCCGGGCUCAACCUGGGAACUGCCUUUGUGACUGCAUAGCUAGAGUACGGUAGAGGGGGAUGGAAUUCCGCGUGUAGCAGUGAAAUGCGUAGAUAUGCGGAGGAACACCGAUGGCGAAGGCAAUCCCCUGGACCUGUACUGACGCUCAUGCACAAAAGCGUGGGGAGCAAACAGGAUUAGAUACCCUGG
rnacentral:rRNA from 1 species